rnacentral:rRNA from 1 species
GAUGAACGCUGGCGGCGUGCCUAAUACAUGCAAGUCGAGCGAACGGACGAGAAGCUUGCUUCUCUGAUGUUAGCGGCGGACGGGUGAGUAACACGUGGAUAACCUACCUAUAAGACUGGGAUAACUUCGGGAAACCGGAGCUAAUACCGGAUAAUAUUUUGAACCGCAUGGUUCAAAAGUGAAAGACGGUCUUGCUGUCACUUAUAGAUGGAUCCGCGCUGCAUUAGCUAGUUGGUAAGGUAACGGCUUACCAAGGCAACGAUGCAUAGCCGACCUGAGAGUGUGAUCGGCCACACUGGAACUGAGACACGGUCCAGACUCCUACGGGAGGCAGCAGUAGGGAAUCUUCCGCAAUGGGCGAAAGCUUGACGGAGCAACGCCGCGUGAGUGAUGAAGGUCUUCGGAUCGUAAAACUCUGUUAUUAGGGAAGAACAUAUGUGUAAGUAACUGUGCACAUCUGGACGGUACCUAAUCAGAAAGCCACGGCUAACUACGUG